rnacentral:sRNA from 1 species
CUGAUUCCAGGGAUUUUUGUUAACAUAAUUGGAAUUUAAAAUAUGAUAUUUUAUUUGAUCAAUGUCUGUUCUGACUUUUUUUGUCUUUUGGCCUUGGAGGGGCUAAGAGAAAGGAUUCAUAGACUUUUUUUUUAAUUAAUAGAAAUAAGUAAAAUGCACAGAAGAUGUCAACGUCUAAAUGUGGCAUCCUAUCAACCAUCAAUAAAUGGUACCACUGUCCUCCCCCAGAAGCAUCCCCAAUCUCCACUCAGGUGGGUUCAGCCUCUGCAAAGCUCAGCACUCUGCACCUCCACCCAAAUCUUGAUUAUUCAUAAUGCCCCUAAGCCAGAGUGUUAGACUCAGUCGACUAAUCAUGUGCUAGGUGCUGUGCAAUCUGCUGAGGUUACAAAAUGAAUAGCCAACGAUUCCUUCCUUCAAGGAGCUCACCUGGUGAGGAAACAGAUGCAAAAACAACUGAUUAUAGCAUACAGUGAACCCUGAUAAAAGUGUGGGCCCCUAAAAAGGAGAGGUGCUCAAUGCUUCCUAAGAGAGUAGGGGCAGCUUCACAAAGAAGAUAACACUAAAACUGAAUCUGGAAAAACAAUAGCAAUUAUCCAUAUUAGCAAAGAAAGAAAGAGGAUUCCAGUGAAGAGAAAAGGGUACCCACAGUCAUGGAGGUCAGGAGAAGCAGGAAAGGGUGUACAGGGAAGUAAUUCAGGAAAAUCUACCUCAGAAGGAACACGGGAAUGCACAACAAAUGAUGUAGCCUGAGAGACAAGGCCGGACCUGGUUUGCAACAACUGUUUUUGCCAAAAGAGGUUUGACAUGAUAGAGCCAUCGAAGACAUGGUGAUGAGGUGAUCUUCAGAAGAUGAGAGAUGAGGUAGAUAUCAAGAUGAGAGAGCAACUGAGGACAAGAGCUGAGAACUGAGACACAAACUAAAUGUUCCUCCAGUGUGCGCCUGUGACAGGAAUAAAAUAACAACUUUUUUAAGCUCACAUCAACCUCAGAUAUUGCUUCAGCAUCAAAAAAAAAUAGAGCAACUCUUUCCAAAAGAUGCCGAUGACAGUGUAGAGAGAACUCGGAUGUCACUUCACAUGCCCAGAGUGUGGUUUGAGGAAAGGACAACUAAACAUUUUUCUGUGGCCUUAAUGGAAAUCAUGUCUAAAUUGAUAUAAUAGGUCAAAAGAGAUAACAGAUCACAAGUAGCCCCCUUUGGUUUUGGCUGAAAACUGUAUUACUACAUUGCACCAGUAAAUAUAUUGAGAGACUUGAAAGACAAUCAAUCAACACACGAGUCCGAUAGAUAAUGACAAUGACUAUUAAAUCUUCUCUAGUCUUCGUAACUUUAUAUGUUUGGAACUAAUAUUGAAGAAUCAUAUUUCUACUAACUAAAAAUAAUAAUUCAAGGCUUAAGGAAAAAUUGAAGUAAAGCCUGAAGAAGGCAACCUGGGAAGGAAUAAGAAUUCUUUAAGAUCAGAGGUUCUGCCUUUCAGAUAAAUAACUAACUAGAGAUUUCCUUUGAUAAAUGGCAAGUUAAAGAAAUUGUAGAAUGGUAGAAAAUAUCAUGUUUACCUACAAAAAGAACUAUUGCCUCACCAGGUUUCACAUCUCUAGAAGAUGGUUUUAAAUCUAUUAUGAGCAUUAUGUAAUGUUUAACUGGUUCUGGUUUCAAUUGGCAGGGGAACCUAAGGGUUUAAACAAAGGGUUAAAAAAAUCUAAAUCUAGUGUCUUUGUUACAAUAAGAUUAAACAAGAGGAGCAAUAUAUUUAGGCCACAACAGUAAAGAUUUCAUGCAGUUAGAGAAAGCAUGUCUUAGUUUAUCAGUUUAGAAAUAGGAAAAUGGAACCCUAAAAUUUGCAAGUACCGACCCAAAACUCUGAGAAUAAUGUUAGUUCCAGGAAGCUGAUUGCAUCAUUUCAGUGGACCAGAACAGAAAAUAAUGAGUUACAUUUUAUAACUCUUUUUAAGUUUUCUAAUUUACCACCUGGCUGAUGAAGUAUUAAUGCUAUAGGAAUUGGAAUCCUUGAAGUCUUAUGGCCACGCCCUCAUCAGUUUGACAUAAGAGUCUACUAAACUGGUUUCAACAUUAGAAUAAGGGAAGGAAAAUUCCUACUUUGUAAAAAUCAUAUUAUUCUGAUUUCAUCACCAACCUCACAGUUUUCCAGGCAUAUGUAGAAGAAGUAAUUAUAAUGCCAAAGUAUGAAAUAUAGCCGGUUUCAUAACCAGAAUGAAUUAUGGCUAAUUCUUCUGCAGUAAACAAUUUGUUUUUCAAAUCUGUAUUCCCCAGACAGCUGAGCCAGGCCUUGCUUCUCAAGUGUUUUAUUUAAAUAGGCAGUAUAACAGUGGAGUUUUACCACAGAGUUUCUGAGUGCAGAGAGCCUUUCCCUAGGAGUGGGGUGCAGGGAACUGGAGGGCAAUGGUUCUUAUGAGAAGGUGAUGAUGCUUCUAAGAAAAAAGAUUACACGUAAGUUAAUACUUAACAAUUUUUUUAAAUUCUGAAAUUCAAAUGUUCUGCAUUUUGAAAUAGAAUGAAUAUUCUCUAACUUUUUAGUCUAAAAAAUUUCCAAGCUGGAGCUACCACUCAUCCUUGGAACUGCCAAUUCCUAAGCAUUUUCAUUCUGGCACUGAAUGUUGCAUUGACUAGCCAUUCCUAUGUGCAGUUUCUAAUUCUCCUGCCCUGACUCACACAACCCUAUUGUAACUUAAUCUGGCUUUAUAACCUGCCACAUUGCCAAGUGUUUUUUUGUUUUGUUUUGUUUUGUUUUGUUUUUUGCUUUGUUUUCUUUGAGUUUUUGCAUGCGUGAGUUUUGGUUUGUUUGCCUGCAAACAGGUAAACAACUUCUUUGCACAACCAUAAAGACUUCCUUGUCUCCUGCUUUUCUCUUACAAACUCUUACAAGACAAGAUAAAUAGAGGCUCAGAGUGAAUGCUUGGGGAGGGUAUUAGGGAAGACAUUCUUGCACAAGAAUUACUUGGAUCAUAUCACUAGGUUAAGUAGAAAAAUGAAAAUGGGUCCUGAAUAAGCAUAUAAUAUGAUCCAAAUUGUUACUUACAUGCUUUGAAUGCCUUAACAAUAAUGUACAGGACAUUUGUUUGGCAGUGUGCUUUUAUUUAUUUCCUUACUUAUUGCUGUUUCUUUUGCAGAAUGCCCUGGCUAAAGCUACUGUGAAAGAACUUGCCUCACUGCACGGCACCAAGUACACAUAUGGCCCGGGAGCUACAACAAUCUAUCCUGCUGCUGGGGGCUCUGACGACUGGGCUUAUGACCAAGGAAUCAGAUAUUCCUUCACCUUUGAACUCCGAGAUACAGGCAGAUAUGGCUUCCUCCUUCCGGAAUCCCAGAUCCGGGCUACCUGCGAGGAGACCUUGCUGGCAAUCAAGUAUGUUGCCAGCUACGUCCUGAAACACCUGUACUAGUUGAGAAAGCUGAUGGCCUUGUUUCAAAAUUCCCAUUUUUCGUUUCUUUUCUUUCUUGAAUUCUUAUUUUGGUUUGCCUGGAUGUUUUACAGAUCCCAAUCUUUCUUUUAAGUUUCUGGGUCUAUUAAACUAGGUAGAUCUUUUCAUAUUGAUCAUAAUAAAAGUGAAUCAUUACCAUUGGAAAG